rnacentral:rRNA from 1 species
AUUGAACGCUGGCGGCAUGCCUUACACAUGCAAGUCGAACGGCAGCACGGGAGCAAUCCUGGUGGCGAGUGGCGAACGGGUGAGUAAUAUAUCGGAACGUGCCCAGUCGUGGGGAUAACGUAGCGAAAGCUACGCUAAUACCGCAUACGAUCUAUGGAUGAAAGCGGGGGAUCGCAAGACCUCGCGCGAUUGGAGCGGCCGAUAUCAGAUUAGGUAGUUGGUGAGGUAAAGGCUCACCAAGCCGACGAUCUGUAGCUGGUCUGAGAGGACGACCAGCCACACUGGGACUGAGACACGGCCCAGACUCCUACGGGAGGCAGCAGUGGGGAAUUUUGGACAAUGGGCGCAAGCCUGAUCCAGCAAUGCCGCGUGCAGGAUGAAGGCCUUCGGUUGU